AUACACAGCUCGCCCACUGAUGGAGGCUGUCACCGUUUCAAGGUGUCUAUGAAUUUUAAUACAGAGUUGGCAGCCGAUAGCUAGGUUUAUUAAACGCCACAUAAGAAGUUUUUACGUGAAUAAUAGUCGAUGUAUUCUAAAAUACAUCUUCCCCACACAAACAUAUGUGCAUAUACAGAAUAAAAUUCUUAAAACAGUGAUGAUUCUGAUGAAUUUCACCCACCCAAAUUUCAAAAUCACAUACCAUCAGGAUGCUCCUCAAUUCGAUUUACGAGGACCAAAAGCCAACAUAACACAAAACUGCAAUAUGUAUUUAUCAACAGACUAAAAUCCAGUUGAUAUUGUUAUGUUGUAGAACGACUGUAAAGUGUUGUAUUAUCGCUAGCAAAAAUACAUGGCGCUGUACACACUAAUAAUUAUACUCGGUUGAACAGAACUACUUCGACAUUAUUUGUUUUUGUAUGUGAAUGUAACAACGCAACCGAUUGAAUGACGUUAUUAUAUCGAUAUUAAUAAUGA